GGUACAAAGCACUGGGAAUGCAACCUUGAACAAGACAAGAAUCCUGGUCUUCAAGGAACUGCGAACCUUUUUGGGGGAUAUGAUAAGAUACAUUAGGAAUCACCAUGUUAAUGGUGAUCUUUCUUGAAGGAUAUAAGUCCAGGUGCUCGGGGAGACCCACACAUAUACUCAUAGAAAUGAGUUAUUUAAAGAAGACGGUCCAGAUUCCACAGUCCAAAAAAAAAAAAAAAAAGAGGUUUGCCCUGCUUCUGAAGGAGUCAGGAUACGAAUGCAGAGGUCUUCCUGUUGGCUCACGUAUCAGACCUUCAACGUCAACAUUAAAUGUGAGUGAUGCUCUCCACUCUGUGAAUGUGGCUUUGGGUAUGGCUAAUCCACACCCUGCACUCUGGCCUUCAGAAGCCCAGGGAGAGAAGCCUCCCAGAAGCAACCUUCCAGAACCUUCUCCAUACUCCCACCGACCUCCCCAGCCCCUGUCUUCUCUUUGAAUCUCGUUGUCAAGUUCUUUCCUGGCUCCUUGAGGGGAGGUGCAGCUUUCAUCUGACCAUGCAGGCGUGCUUUGCAGUGGGUAGAGCAGUGCUUUCCUCCUCCCAGCUGCACACUGGAAUCACCUGGAGAGUCCAGAAACUUCCCGCCUCAGUGAAAGAACAUCAGUGUAUCAGCACAGCAAAGAUUCCAAAUGCCAGGCUGGAUUGCCUCCAAUUACCAGGACCUCCAGGCUUCUCCUCCUUUCAAGAACUUUCUGAUCCUGGAUCCAGUCUAAAUGUUGGUUAUAAACUCACCUGACAUCCACAGGGCCCUUCCAAAGUACUGUCAAGGCUGACUGCUGGUGCCUGGAACCUGCACACCCUCCUGGGACUCUGCAUCUCUGCUGGGGCUGGUUUCUCCUCUGAGCCACCUUAAGGAAUCCCACCCUGACCCGGUCACAGCUCAGCAUGCCUCCCUCUACUACUUGCUCAGCAUUUUGUGUCUAUCUAGACUGAAGCCUUUGCUUUCUCUCUGUGAUUGUGGUGAAAGUUCAGUUUGCUUUCCUCUCUCUAGAAUGUCAGCACGAAGGCAGAGGCAUGGUCUCCUGAGUUCCAUAACCCCAAAGCCUAACUCCCUGCCUGCCACACUGAGGGGCUCAGUAGACAUUGACUUACUAAAUUGAAUAGUUGAGUAAUAAUGCUCUUUGAAAUAAUUUGGAGUUAGAUCUUGAGCCUUGUGCGGCCAGGGGAUGCAUGAGGGCACAUCAUAAAAACUGAAGGUAACUGAGCAUGCCAGCGGUUGGGGUGAGAAAUUUGCAUGGAGCACUCCAGACACAGAGGCAGCAAAACCCAAGUGCUGGGGAGUCAGAGUGAGAGAGUGAAGGGGCACUGAGUGCCUCUUUAGGAGCUGGAUCAAAACCUGAGAUGAUCUGGCCACAUGGUGCAGACUGAGCACGCACUUGGGAGAGAAAUGGGCCGGGAGGAGAGGAGAGAGGUUCACCACAGGACAGUGGAUGGCUGGGAAUAGAAGCCCUCCCCAUGGUGGAGUAUCAGUCUGUGAAGCUGAGAGCAAGACAAAAGAAAUCAUGACUUCUGUGGGUAGCUGGGAUGGAAACCUCAGGGGUGACAGGGUCUUUAAAGGAAAUCUCAAGGAGGGCAUCAUGUUCCGGGUGUGUUCCAGGGAUGCUGAGUAAGAAAAGACCACCUUUUCUGUAUGUGUCUUUACUCUGCCACAAGGCACCUGGGCUCCUAAAUGACCAACACACAUGUGCUAUACUGGUGCCAGGAAAGAAGGGUGUUUUGUAGGAAAGUCAAGGUGAGAGGAGGUGCCCAGGACUUGGCUCCUUUCUUUGAAGGGUGAUGGUGUAAAUUCUCCAUGCUGGGGAUACUACUGAUGGAUGGAGGCGUGUCGAUCUCAUCAUUUCACAGAGUGGGGAGCUAUGGCCACGACGUGCCUAUCACACAAGUCCAGCCUCACGUCAGCUGGACACCAGCUGUUCUGACACUUGUCAGCACAUGGGGCACCCGGAAGUUCACGGUGUUCUGCAAAGAACGCCACAAAACAGUGAGCUCAACUUCUUGAAAAUCAUAAUGUGUAGCUAAGUCCAAUCCCAGAUCCUAAAAAUAAUAUGAGGUAUAGUGGCCAUUGAACAGAAAAAAUUUACAUCUUAAACUUGAAGAUAAGUACAAGUGUACCUUUUUCUACCACUGUUGUUCAGUUUUAUUACAUUGAUGAGCACCUCUGCCCACCCUAUGGGGUAACACUGUUUGAGAAUCACUGAUUUAUGAAAGUUAUAUAAAUAUUGGCUGAUCAAAUGUACAAAAUUUGCAUGAUGGCACCAUAUUGUGUAUA
rnacentral:antisense_RNA from 1 species